rnacentral:rRNA from 1 species
AUUGAACGCUGGCGGAAUGCUUUACACAUGCAAGUCGAGCGGCAGCGCGGGGGCAACCCUGGCGGCGAGCGGCGAACGGGUGAGUAAUACAUCGGAACGUGUCCUUCAAGUGGGGGAUAGCUCGGCGAAAGCCGGAUUAAUACCGCAUAAGCUCUGAGGAGGAAAGCGGGGGACUGGUAACGGCCUCGCGCUGUUGGAGCGGCCGAUGUCGGAUUAGCUAGUUGGUGGGGUAAAGGCCCACCAAGGCGACGAUCCGUAGCUGGUCUGAGAGGAUGAUCAGCCACACUGGAACUGAGACACGGUCCAGACUCCUACGGGAGGCAGCAGUGGGGAAUUUUGGACAAUGGGGGCAACCCUGAUCCAGCCAUUCCGCGUGAGUGAAG